UCUCCGUUGGUGAACCAGCGGAGGGAUCAUUACCGAGUUUACAACUCCCAAACCAAAUGUGAACCAUACCAAACUGUUGCCUCGGCGGGGUCACGCCCCGGGUGCGUCGCAGCCCCGGAACCAGGCGCCCGCCGGAGGGACCAACCAAACUCUUUCUGUAGUCCCCUCGCGGACGUUAUUUUUACAGCUCUGAGCAAAAAUUCAAAAUGAAUCAAAACUUUCAACAACGGAUCUCUUGGUUCUG
rnacentral:misc_RNA from 1 species